rnacentral:rRNA from 1 species
UACGUAGGGGGCAAGCGUUGUCCGGAUUCAUUGGGCGUAAAGAGCGUGUAGGCGGCCAGGUAGGUCGGUUGUGAAAACUGGAGGCUCAACCUUCAGAGGUCGACCGAAACCAUCUGGCUAGAGUCCGGGAGAGGAGAGUGGAAUUCCUGGUGUAGCGGUGAAAUGCGCAGAUAUCAGGAAGAACACCCGUGGCGAAAGCGGCUCUCUGGAUCGAAUCUGACACUGAGGUGCGAAAGCUAGGGUAGCAAACGGG